AAGAAACAUGUCUCUAUGUCGGGGGGUACGUUUAGAGGUACAGUGCCUAGAUGGGGUCGGGCUCCUCCACAGACAUAGCAGUUAGUUUUGUUAGCAUUAUAUCUCAUCCAUUCAAGCCAUAGGUUAGUGUCUGAAAAACCCAUCUCUACGGCCAUAGUGUCUUCGAAUGUGGGGUUUGCUAUGGCUACCAUGUCCAUGAAAGUCUUAAUGUGGGGUUUAAGAGGGUUGACAGUCAUAUGUCGGGAAUCUAUCCACUCAGGUGACUGGUACAU